rnacentral:rRNA from 1 species
UGCCCAAGAGACUGGGAUAACACCUGGAAACAGAUGCUAAUACCGGAUAACAACACUAGACGCAUGUCUAGAGUUUAAAAGAUGGUUCUGCUAUCACUCUUGGAUGGACCUGCGGUGCAUUAGCUAGUUGGUAAGGCAACGGCUUACCAAGGCAAUGAUGCAUAGCCGAGUUGAGAGACUGAUCGGCCACAUUGGGACUGAGACACGGCCCAAACUCCUACGGGAGGCAGCAGCU